UACGUAGGGGGCAAGCGUUGUCCGGAUUUACUGGGCGUAAAGAGCGCGCAGGCGGUCGUUCAAGUCGAGUGUGAAAGCCCCCGGCUCAACUGGGGAGGGUCAUUCGAUACUGAUCGACUCGAAGGCAGGAGAGGGAAGUGGAAUUCCCGGUGUAGUGGUGAAAUGCGUAGAUAUCGUAAGGAAGACCAGUGGCGAAGGCGGGUCUCUGGACAGUUCCUGACGCUGAGGCACGAAGGCCAGGGGAGCAAACGGG
rnacentral:rRNA from 1 species